UUGAGAGAAGUCUCACGUUGAUCAACACAUUGAUGAGUAGCUUGCUCCUCAUCAGGAAUAUCCAUGUUGAAAAUCAGUGACCCUUCAUGUUGGGGGACUACCCAGGAGAUGGUUGACGUCCAUAAGGGUAAUGGGCUUAUGUGAUUGAGUAUGCCUAGCCUCCUCGUGCAUCUCGAAGAGCUUCUCAUACUGCUCCCGGAGGAUCUCGUUCUUUAUUGCUAUCUUGUUGUUUUGAGCCUCCAGCUUUUCGACUUUAGCUUGCUUUCGUUCAUUCCUUCGCUGUCUCACACUAGGCAUGAGGGGAAUGUUGUUCUAUGUACUGUGGCUUCCUUCGCUUCACAUGUUGGAGAGGGAUGCCUGGUUAAAUGAGAGUGUACGAACGAUGGAAACUAGCUUGACAAAUCUGAAUAGAGUAGGAAUAAGUGUCUUUUCCCACAGAUGGCGCCAAAUGUUGAUGCACAAAAUCGAUGAAGACUUUGGAACAACGUAAAGUGUCAAGUUUGUAACCUUCGCUCGGUUGCUCCGGUCACCUAGUGACGAUGAUGUGUAAAGAGAUAGAUAUACGGAAGCAAAUACAAGAUGUACGUGGUUCACCCUAAGUUUGGCUACGUCCACGGAGUAGAGGAGUUCUUAUUAAUAGUGAAAGGUUUACACAAAUACAUACGUUCGAGCAUAAUCAUCAUUAGUGAGUUCUAAUGACUAGUUUAUGUACAAUGAUGACAUUAGGAAUUAACUGUAGGAUAAUGGUCUUCUUUUAUAGUUGAGGAGAGUCUCCAGCUUUCGUUCGCAGUCGAUGUGGGACUCUAUGAGCUUUAUUCUGACAUUGACAUGUGUCUGUUGUGAUUGGCCCCCAGGUUGGAGGGAAACUCUUGUGCUUUAGCAAGGGUGCCUCAACAUGGACCCCUUAGUGGGUCCUUGAAGGUAUGACGUUGACUGUGCUUGGUAGUUUCAGGAUUGGUUAAGUAUGGUACAAACAAUGUGUAAUAGAGUGGUUAUGUCAAAUAUUAGUAUGGUAAAUCCUCUAAUUAAGAUUAUUAAAUUGAUAAGUAGUGGUAUAGUUGGACUUUAUUGUUGAUAAUUAAGCCAUGAUGAUUCCUAUUCCGACUUUAAUAGGUGACUUAGUGGCACUUAGUACUGCGGUCUAAUAGUAUUCUUCUUCACUUGUAAGUGAAAGGUUUUAGGUUCAAUUCUUGUCAAAUGCAAAUUCAAACCAUAUUAUAGCCUGUUCAUUGUGAGGCUUAGCCCACUCUCCCACUCCUUAAUGUAAUAUCGUUUGUUCAAAAAAAAAAAAAAAAAAAAACAAAGAAUGGUGAGUUAGUUAUAAAUUUAGAGGCUACAAAGGAUAGGUCCUUGCUCUCACA
rnacentral:lncRNA from 1 species